CCUACGGGUGGCUGCAGUGGGGAAUAUUGCACAAUGGGCGCAAGCCUGAUGCAGCCAUGCCGCGUGUGUGAAGAAGGCCUUCGGGUUGUAAAGCACUUUCAGCGGGGAGGAAGGCGGUGAGGUUAAUAACCUCAUCGAUUGACGUUACCCGCAGAAGAAGCACCGGCUAACUCCGUGCCAGCAGCCGCGGUAAUACGGAGGGUGCAAGCGUUAAUCGGAAUUACUGGGCGUAAAGCGCACGCAGGCGGUCUGUCAAGUCGGAUGUGAAAUCCCCGGGCUCAACCUGGGAACUGCAUUCGAAACUGGCAGGCUAGAGUCUUGUAGAGGGGGGUAGAAUUCCAGGUGUAGCGGUGAAAUGCGUAGAGAUCUGGAGGAAUACCGGUGGCGAAGGCGGCCCCCUGGACAAAGACUGACGCUCAGGUGCGAAGGCGUGGGGAGCAAACAGGAUUAGAUACCCUUGUAGUC
rnacentral:rRNA from 1 species